AUUGAACGCUGGCGGCAUGCCUUACACAUGCAAGUCGAACGGCAGCACGGACUUCGGUCUGGUGGCGAGUGGCGAACGGGUGAGUAAUGUAUCGGAACGUACCUUUCAGUGGGGGAUAACGUAGCGAAAGUUACGCUAAUACCGCAUAUUCUGUGAGCAGGAAAGCAGGGGAUCGAAAGACCUUGCGCUGAUUGAGCGGCCGAUAUCAGAUUAGCUAGUUGGUGGGGUAAAGGCCUACCAAGGCGACGAUCUGUAGCGGGUCUGAGAGGAUGAUCCGCCACACUGGAACUGCGACACGGUCCAGACUCCUACGGGAGGCAGCAGUGGGGAAUUUUGGACAAAGGGGGCAACCCUGAUCCAGCCAUGCCGCGUGAGUGAAGAAGGCCUUCGGGUUGUAAAGCUCUUUCGGCCGGGAAGAAAUCGCAUAGGCUAAUACCCUGUGUGGAUGACGGUACCGGAAUAAGAAGCACCGGCUAACUACGUG
rnacentral:rRNA from 1 species